rnacentral:rRNA from 1 species
UACGGAGGGUGCAAGCGUUAUCCGGAUUCACUGGGUUUAAAGGGUGCGUAGGUGGGAAGGUAAGUCAGUGGUGAAAUCCCCGAGCUUAACUUGGGAACUGCCAUUGAUACUAUCUUUCUUGAAUACCUUGGAGGUGAGCGGAAUAUGUCAUGUAGCGGUGAAAUGCUUAGAUAUGACAUAGAACACCAAUUGCGAAGGCAGCUCACUACACGGUCAUUGACACUGAGGCACGAAAGCGUGGGGAGCAAACAGG